rnacentral:lncRNA from 1 species
AUGAGGAGACUUGUGUUCAUCCCAGGCCCGGGCAUCGGGCACCUCGUAUCAACGGUUGAGAUCGCAAAGCAACUUGCGGCUAGAGAUCACCAGCUCUUCAUCACAGUCCUCAUCAUGAAGCUCCCCUUCGACCAACUCUUCACCAACACAGACGCUUCCAUCUCACGACGCAUCAACUUCAUCAACCUCCCCGAAGCCCACGUCGACACACGAAACACCGGCCCCUCCUCGUUCUUCAAAACCUUCGUCGAAAAUCACAAAACCCAUGUUAGAGCCGCCGUCUUAGAGUCAAGUACUCAGUCCGAGUCGAACCAGGCUCAGCUGGCCGGGUUGGUCGUUGACAUGUUCUGCACCACUAUGAUUGAUGUGGCCGAUGAAUUUGGGGUUCCUUCCUACGUGUUCUUCACCUCCAACGCCGGGUGUCUCGCGUUCUUGCUCUACCUCCAAAAGCUUCGAGACGAGCAUGGCACGGACGCGGCUCAGUUGAUGGACUCGGAGGCUGAGUUGGCCAUCCCGAGUUUCGUCAACUCUUUGCCUGCCCAUGUCUUGCCCGGUGUGCUAUUGGACAAGGAGGGUGCCACAGCAUUUCUCAAUCAUGCAAAAAGGUUUAGAGAAACCAAGGGUAUUUUAGUAAAUUCGUUCUCAGAGCUGGAAUCACAUGCGCUUCACUCUCUUUCUGAUGAUAAAACCCCACCUGUGUACCCGGUGGGACCUCUGUUGAAUCUUGAGAGUGAUGAUUUCCACGUGAGUACGGACAAGGCUAGACAAAAGUAUGAUAUUUUAAGGUGGCUUGAUGAUCAGCCUUCCUUGUCUGUGGUGUUCUUGUGUUUUGGGAGCAUGGGAAGCUUUGGUGAGGCCCAGGUGAAAGAGAUGGCGUGUGCACUGGAGUACGGUGGGUUUCGGUUCUUGUGGUCCCUACGAAAG